ensembl:misc_RNA 7SK 7SK RNA
GGAUUGGUGGGGGGGGGUGAGGGCCCAUUGAUUGCCAGGGUUUAUUCAGCUGCUGGCUGACUGAAUGGGUGUCCCCCUUCCUCUUUGACCACUCCAAGUGUGUCCCUCCUGAAGCUGCCCACAUGGUUGAAGAGGUCAGCCUUCCCUGAUAGAGGAAGAGCAUUCUUGGGUCAAGGUUACACAGGUAGCUGCACUCUCCUACUAGAAUCUCUAAACAAGUUUUCAAGGGAAUGAGGGCAUGUUCAGAAAAAUCUUAGUUUCCAUUCUGAGCUCAAGAAAAUCUCA